UACAGAGGGUGCGAGCGUUGUUCGGAAUUACUGGGCGUAAAGCGCGCGCAGGCGGCUCUUUAAGUCUGAUGGUCAAAUGCCGGGGCUCAACCCCGUGCCCGCCAGGGAUACUGGAGAGCUGGAGACACGUAGAGGCAAGCGGAAUUCCGGGUGUAGCGGUGGAAUGCGUAGAGAUCCGGAAGAACACCGGAGGCGAAGGCGGCUUGCUGGGCGUAGUCUGACGCUGAGGCGCGAAAGCGUGGGGAGCGAACAGG
rnacentral:rRNA from 1 species